CCUACGGGAGGCAGCAGUGGGGAAUAUUGGACAAUGGGCGCAAGCCUGAUCCAGCCAUGCCGCGUGGAUGAUGAAGGCCCUAGGGUUGUAAAGUCCUUUCGACGGGGAAGCGGUACCCGUAGAAGAAGCCCCGGCUAACUUCGUGCCAGCAGCCGCGGUAAUACGAAGGGGGCUAGCGUUGCUCGGAAUCACUGGGCGUAAAGCGCACGUAGGCGGACUCUUAAGUCGGUGGUGAAAUCCUGGAGCUCAACUCCAGAACUGCCUUCGAUACUGAGAGUCUCGAGUCCGGGAGAGGUGAGUGGAACUGCGAGUGUAGAGGUGAAAUUCGUAGAUAUUCGCAAGAACACCAGUGGCGAAGGCGGCUCACUGGCCCGGACUGACGCUGAGGUGCGAAAGCGUGGGGAGCAAACAGGAUUAGAUACCCUUGUAGUC
rnacentral:rRNA from 1 species